GACCGCUCCGGUGGCCUAAUGGUUAGAGCAUCUGCCUCGGAUGCGGAAGGUCACGGGUUAAUACCCCGACCUAGUCU